CGCCACACUCCAGGCGCAGGCCGCAAGGGGCGGGCCCGACCCGGCGCCGCUCUCCCGGGCGCAGGCGCCGGCGUGAGGUCGAGGCUGUGCCGGCCGGGCUCGGCGGCUCCAUGCGCUGCCAGGUCACGGUGCUGUACUUUGCCAGGAGCGCUGAGCUGGCGGGGCUGCGCUCCGAGAGCGUUUCUGUGCCGCAGCGGAUCACCUCCCUGCAGCUCUGGGAAGAAAUUGUUAAGAUUCAUCCAAGGCUUGCUGUCAUCCGGGAUCAAGUGAUUUUUGCUGUUCAGCAGGAGUACGUGUUUCUUGGAGAUCAGCUCCUGGUCCUGCAGACAGGAGACGAGGUUGCCAUCAUCCCACCAAUUAGUGGAGGCUGAAUUUAUGCAACUUCUGUUAGAUCCAGAGAUAUGAUGUACAGUUCUCCCCAUCUGCCUCUGAUAUUCUUUGGAAAAAGCAUAACUUGUAUUUCUUGCUGGAGAGAAUCAUUGUGCUGACCAGAAACUAUAAGCUCUUCUAGUCAGCCAUGGAUGAAAGCGAAGAUGUGCCAAAAGAUUUUAUCAAGCUCAAGCCUGAAAAACUGUCUGUAGAUGAAGUAUCAGAGCUGGUCAUUUCACCAAACUGUGGGGCAGUGUCUCUGUUCAUUGAGUGGUUCCAAUAACUGAAGCAAGUGUAAUUAUUGCAGUGUCAUCUCCACACAGAACAGAAUCCCUUGAGGCUGUAACGUACUGCAUCAACACCUUAAAAGCAUUCGUCCCAAUAUGGAAAAAGGAGAUUUAUGAGGACGAAUAUUCUUGGAAAGAAAACAAGGAAUGCUUUUGGGCAAAUUCAGAAAAAUAACUGUACUCUUUCAUAAAUAAAGUGUUACUGCUCCUGAUGAACGUA